CAGCCCAGUGGGCCCUUCAGAUCAGCAGAGCUAAGUGUUGGACAAAUUCUGCACAUGCACAGACAAAGUUGCUAAGGAAAAAUGAAGCUGUUCCAGGACAUGUUACAGUAUGCUUAUGGUUAUGCAAGUAAAAAAAAAGAGGUAAUACAAAGUGAACUGUUCUCAGCUAGGAAUCAGUCUUCAAAGUCAAAGAGGAAGUAAUAUAUUCUGUAAGUGACUGAGAUUAAACAGAUGGCUCAGUUUGUGGUCAUCCCUGGAAGAGUCUUGCCAUCACCUGUCACCAAGAGAUGUGGCACUCCCAAGCAGUCAGAGUCCUACGGGAGCAACACAAGUCUCAGGUUGACACCAGAGUUCUCGUCCAGCACAGAUUUCUCCAUUCAGACAGUCCAGAUACUUUUUGCAUGCACCAACUCUUUGUUGUGAUGAGCCUCUCUGCCCUCCACCACCCAAGCAUCUUUCCAUCGAAAUAACAAAUUAAAGGUAAGAGAUGCCUUCUCCUCCCUCUCCCCUCACCACCAGAAAAAAAAAAAAAAGAAAAAAAAAAAAAAAGAAAAAAAGAAACACCAUGGAGAAAUACAGUGGUUCUCUUUUCACUUUUGUUUCACACAGGUAGAAAACAUACUGCAUACCACUGCCUAAACAAGAGGGAUGAGGAAAUCUAGGUGCAAAGCUAGGAUGACAUUUUUCUGUGUACUGCUCCACUCUAUUUCCUUUGAUUUAAUCAGGGGAAAAUGCUGUGCUUAACACAGCUUCCUUUAAAAACUUAACAUAACCCAAGUUCACAUUAAACUGGUCCAAAAUUAACUUCAAAGUUUUG
rnacentral:lncRNA from 1 species